UCCCUGGAGGACUAGCGGUUAGGCCUCGGCGCUCUCACCGCUGUGGCCUGGGUUUGAUUCCUGAACAGGGAG
rnacentral:tRNA from 1 species